rnacentral:rRNA from 1 species
UGAGGAAUAUUGGUCAAUGGACGGAAGUCUGAACCAGCCAUGCCGCGUGAAGGAAUAAGGCCCUACGGGUCGUAAACUUCUUUUGUGGUGGAGCAAUAAGACGUACGCGUACGUCGAUGAGAGUACAUCACGAAUAAGCAUCGGCUAACUCCGUGCCAGCAGCCGCGGUAAUACGGAGGAUGCAAGCGUUAUCCGGAUUUAUUGGGUUUAAAGGGUGCGUAGGCUGUGUAGCAAGUCAGUGGUGAAAGCCCGGUGCUCAACACCGGAACUGCCAUUGAUACUGUUGCGCUGGAAUACGGAUGCCGUGGGAGGAAUGAGUAGUGUAGCGGUGAAAUGCAUAGAUAUUACUCAGAACACCGAUUGCGAAGGCAUCUCACGAAUCCGUCAUUGACGCUGAGGCACGAAAGCGUGGGGAUCAAACAGG